AUUAUUAUCUCCCGAAUAUCUUGAAAUGAAGAAAAUUGAAGCAAUUGCACAAAAUAAUAAAGUAUAUUUUGGAAACAGUAUACCUAAUAUGUUUCUUGAUAGCUGUAUUAAUUCAAAAAUUCCAUCAAUAUCAAAGUCUAUUAAAGAUGAAAAUAAGACAUAAGAGUUGGAUUCAUAUCAUUUUCUACACAUCUUCAGUUGAAAGACAAUAUCACGAAAAAGUCACUUUUUAAAAAUUAAAAAUUGAAUUUUAAAAUCUAAGUAUUGUUUAAAAUAUACCUUAUUCUUCAGAUAAUCUUUACAUAAUUUUCUGAUGUUUCUAUAAAAUUCACAAAAUCAAAAAAAAAAAAAUUAAUAAUAAUAAUAAUGAUUGCAUUUUUGUGCAAAUAAAAAAGGAGAAAAAAACAUCUUUAAAUAUGUGUUGUCAAGUUUAAUCACUUUAAACUUGAUUUUAUGCACAUAAGAAAAGAAUAAUAAUUAUAAAUGUUUUUGUUUAUUAUUAAAAUUUGAAUACUAAAAUCUCAUUAAAAUGAUUUUGAUUUUUGUAUUUUCAGUGUUUUUAUACUUCAUUGUAAAUGUCUAAAAAGAAAAAUUUUGUUUCUAUAUUAUAAACCAUUCUUAUGGUAUAAAUAAAGUUGUCUUAAAGUU